GACAGAGGGGGCAAGCGUUGCUCGGAAUCACUGGGCGUAAAGGGCGCGUAGGCGGGAUGGCAAGUCAGUCGUGAAAUCUCUCGGCUCAACCGAGAAACGUCGGCUGAUACUGCCGUUCUUGAGGGAUGCAGAGGAGACUGGAAUUCCCGGUGUAGCGGUGAAAUGCGUAGAUAUCUGGAGGAACACCGGUGGCGAAGGCGGCGUCCUGGACCAACACUGACACUGAUGAGCGAAAGCCAGGGGAGCAAACGGGG
rnacentral:rRNA from 1 species